rnacentral:tRNA from 1 species
GUUACCGUAGCUUAAGUCAAAGCACGGCACUGAAGAUGCCAAGAUGGCCCCCCUCGCCCGGAAACA